rnacentral:rRNA from 1 species
CGGGAGGUGCAAGCGUUGUUCGGAGUGACUGGGCGUAAAGCGCACGUAGGUGGGCUAGUAAGUCGGAUGUGAAAUCCCCGGGCUUAACCUGGGAACUGCAUCCGAAACUACUAGUCUUGAAUGCUUCAGAGGUUGGUAGAAUUCCAGGUGUAGGAGUGAAAUCCGUAGAUAUCUGGAGGAAUACCGGAGGCGAAGGCGGCCAACUGGGAAUGCAUUGACACUGAGGUGCGAAAGCGUGGGAAGCAAACAGGAUUAGAUACCCUGGUAGUCCACGCUGUAAACUAUGGAUACUAGGUGUUUGGAGAAUUAACCCUCUGAGUACUACAGCUAACGCGUUAAGUAUCCCGCCUGGGGAGUACAGUCGCAAGGCCG